CGCCAAACACAGUUUAAUUGCCAAACACGCAGCUGUCUCGGCGCGGUGUGGAUAGUUUGUGUACUUUUCUGCGUUUGUGAUUAUGGGUCUUUGGUUGAGACCCUCCCACUCCAGUUUCAUGCUCUUAUUUCAUUAUCGUAUUUCUAAUAUUCAUAGGACUGCAGACAUGGUGUAAACCUCUGUCUCUCCGUUCCUUUGGACUAUUGAGGAGUCUUUGGAUGAACUCGCGUUUACCUCUGGCAUGUCUAGCUUGCAAACCUUCACCAUGUUCACGUGGGCUUGAUGAUCAUCUUCUGUUGUUGUUGGAUGAGCCUUAGCAAUGUCAUCGCCGAUCGCAUCAUUUCGCAUGUCAUGACGGCGGUGCAGUGGGGGAAGUCAACCAACUUUCCCAAGCUGAUAAAAAUCCACCAGUCUAAGUAAGUUCUCUUGGUUGGGGAGUCAUUUGGGUGGUAACGAAGCAGUGGACAAGGCAAUCAAUCGAGCACACCAUUGAGACAUGGAUCAACCUUUACUGAUUGACGGAGCUGUGGUGACUAAGAUUGACACCAUUGAUGAUAAAAUUGAGUGAUAUUAAUAACCUUUGAU